UGUCAUGGUGAUGGCUGACCAGGGCUCCCUGGCUUUUACAGGCCUCUGCUGGGGCCGACGGCCAGUGCUGGUGUCUGAGCGAUU